UUGACAUCGGAAAAUGAAGCCCUCUGUUUAUCCAUAGAACAGGCCCAUGCACAUGCAGUGGCAGUGCAAGCUUCCUCCUCCUCCUGCAAGCCAACAUGUCUCAACCCUGUUCAGGAGAGUAUAUCCGUCUCCAGGCCCAUUCAGUCCUCAUUCUCU
rnacentral:sRNA from 1 species